CACUAACCAUUGGAAAGUGCGUUAAGGAUGGAAAUGGCAUCCUUUUUUUGAGGUACGAAAAAAAAGAUAUAAUGGACAGCCUGACUCUAC
rnacentral:sRNA from 1 species